CAUGCACCCAACGUUCCAUAGUGUUUUUAUUCCCUAUGAUUUUCUUGGUGUUCUGAAUGUUCGAUUAUUGACAGUAUUCUUUCAUUCCUGUUAGAAUUGGUGGUGUGUGUGGCACAUGGUUGAUUAAUUCUCAGGACUUAGCCAUUUAUUGAUUCCUCACAUGAAAUGUGUGAUUUCCUUUGUUCUAAUGGAUAAUUUCUUUUUAAUUGCUGUGUAUAUUGUUUGCCUUUAAUUAUAAUCUGCAGUGCUCCUUGAAUGAAAGUUAUUGUGUUAAUUCAUGCAUUUCCUGCAAUGCACUUUUAUCUCUGUGAAUUUUAAGAGACAUUUUUCCUGAAUAGAACACUAUGGUUGACAGUUACUUUCUUUUGGAGCAUUUUAAUAUAUUGUUCCCUGUGUAUUGGGUUUAAGUGUACUUACAGGUCAUCUCGCAGUAUUCUGUUGUCUGUCCCAUUGGUAUGUAGGUUCACAUUGUUCCUUAAAAGAGUUUGGUAUUCAUUUGUGUUUGUAUUUUUAACACCUUCAUUAUAAAAAGGCAAGAGUUCCUUCUGGUCAUUGUUCCUGAGACAGAAACUCAGAGAAGAAGCAGAGGGGGGGUUGGCUGAUUCUCCAGUAAAAGCAUCCCAGGACUUGGCCACCUGUCUGGAACAAAGAAACAUACCCUGGAUCGUGAAGAGAGUGACAACUGCAAUCAAACUGCAAGUAUUUGAAUAAGGUCAUGCCAACAUUGUGCCAAUUUACACAAGUCAAUCAUGGAUUCUGCUGUUGAGAUUCUGGAAGCAUAUUUAUGCCUCUUGCUUAUGGAAUAUUUUCCAUUGAUAUUUUAAGAAAUCACUGAAAGCAAA